UAAGCCGUAAGUAUAAAAGCAUUCGCACGCCCAUCUCGCUAUUUAACGCGCCAAAGCUUGAAGAUGAAAGCCGCCAUCAUUUUUGCUGUUCUCUCGCUCAUUCUUGUGGCUCACGCCCAGUCGUGCACGAACGAUAUUGAAUGUGCGGCACUGAACUGUCCUGCCGGUCAGGACGAGCACUGCCAUGGGGGCCACUGCCACUGUAUGCACGAGAAACUCUGCACGAGCGACAGCGAUUGCCACGCCCAUUGUAGCAGCGGCACAAACCGUGAAACGUGUGUCGAUGGCCAUUGUCAUUGCUAGCCUAGGCAUUGGACAGGGAUGAAAUUGGAUGAAAAUGAGUUGAAGUUGGUGUUUAUAAUAGAUGAAAUAAAGUCCUGAUUUCAA